UUCUACAGCCGUACUACCCUGAACACGUCUGAUUUCGAAAGCUAAGCAGGGUCAGGCCUGGUUAGUACUUGGAUGGGAGACCGCCUAGGAAUAUCGGGUGCCAUAGGCU